CUCGAAGUGAUGCGUGGUGGGUGCCCAUGGGCCGCAGAUUUGUCUAUGCUGCACAGCUACGUUUACGCAUAUUUUGUUGGUUGCCUUGAAAUCGCGUGUUUACUACCUACAUAGUGUAUCAGCAGGUUGCUUCGCACUGAAUAGCUAUCUAACAAGUUUCUAGACAUGCUGCACUCAGACGAUUCUAAAAUAUUAACUAAUGUCUAGGUGAAUAACAUGACUGUAUUACCGAAUAGCAUGACCAUAACCGUUGUUUGCUUACCUUCAAAAUGCUUU